rnacentral:lncRNA from 1 species
UGCAGUAAGGAGAAAUAAAGGUUGAGUGAUAUGAUAUGCUAAAACAGAUUAAAUAAAAGGRCUAGGUGUAAUAGGGAAGAAAAAAUAAGAGGGCAUGUGACAAAGGAAAAUGAUAAUACAGAGAAAAAAUAAUUAAUCUGAUGAAGAUAGAUACAAAGGUAGUUCAGUGCUAAAAGAAUAUAAGAAAAGAGUGAAAGGUAGGUUGGACAUUUCCUUCUGGAGACAAAGAGACUUCUGUAAAUAUGGCACAAGAGGAACUGUGAGACAAAUGAAAUGCAUUGAGUUUGUGAGGAAGCAUGAUGGAAAAAAAGAUUUUUGAGGUGGAACAGCAGAGUGACCAGUUCCUUUCAUCUCUGUCAUGAUCAUCGCUCAAAGCCUGUGCAGAAG